rnacentral:lncRNA from 1 species
GUAAUCGCCCAAUUAAAAAGCAAGAAGCUUGAAUAUGCGGUACUUGAUCAGCAGUGGACUCGGUAGCGCUGAAAUGGAUGUUCCGAGCUUGGGAGAAGAGCGAUGGGAGCGUAACAUCCUCCAUCUUCAGCUCGCCCAUGGAAAAUCUGAGGAAGAGAAAUCCGUAACAGAUGCGGGAAUUCCAAAGAGAUCAACAGAGCCGUAAGCUCAGAAAGGGAUUUAUGGUUCUGCUCCGGAGGCCGCCAGAGCCGUAGAGCGUGUAGAAGUGGCAGAUGGUGCCUGGAAAGGGCCACAAAAACGGAAUACAAAACGCAUCGUUUCAUUUAAGCUCCAAUUCCCUUUGUGUCUUGACGUUGACUAACGGUCUCCGUCUUCUUCUCCAUCUGUUCUUCAUUUCUCCGUUUGUUCUUCAUCACUACACUUGAUCGAACUGCAUUUGAUACCCUCCCACAAGUUGGAGAGUAUAUAUCAUGUACUCCCAACUUGCUCAAUAACUGCUGCAAGCGAGUUCGAUGAAGUGCCUUAGUAAAAAGAUCCGCAGGCUGAUCAUUUGUCCCAAUAUGCUUCAGCACUAUCAUCCCAGACUUGAUUCUUUCUCGUGUAACAUGACAAUCGAUCUCAAUAUGUUUGGUUCGCUCAUGGAACACAGGAUUUUCUGCUAUAUAUAUUGCAGACUUGUUAUCACAAUGUACUUCCAUAGGCAUAGGCACUUGAAUCCCUAAUUCCUUGAUCAAUUCUGACAUCCAUUGUAACUCACACACCAAGUGUGCUAUUGCCCUGUAUUCUGCUUCUGAAGAUGAUCUCGAUACGGUCCCUUGUUUCUUGGAUCUCCAAGUGAUCAAUGAGUUACCAAGAUAUGUGCAGUAACCAGAAAUGGAUUUCCUGGUGUCUGGACACGCUGCCCAGUCUGAGUCGCAGUAUCCGGUUAAACACAAGUUGUUUGAUGACUUGUAUAUUAAGCCUUGUGCUGGUGAAGACUUCAAGUACCUCAGCACACGAUGAGCUGCCUCCAAAUGUGCUUUACAUGGUCGAUUUUGGAAUUGACUGAGCUGUUGAACAGCAAAUGUGAUGUCUGGUCUUGUAAUUGUCAGAUAGUGUAACCUUCCAACCAGCGUCCUAUAUGUAGAUGGAUCCUCUAUUGAUUCUCCUUGUUCUGCACUCAGUCUCAAAUUACCUUGUUCUGCACUCAAUCUCAAAUUAACAUCCAUAGGGCUCUUACUCCCUUUGGCUUCUAAGAAACCUGUAUCUGUCAACAAUUCUACACAAUACUUUCUUUGAUUCAUCACUAUUCCAUGUCUCGAUCUAGCAAUCUCAAGACCAAGAAAAUACUUCAACUCCCCCAAAUCCUUAAUCUUGAAUUGCUGAUGCAAAUAGCAUUUUACUGCCUUAAUCAAAUCAAUGUCCUUUCCAGCUAAUAUUAUAUCAUCCACAUAAACCAACAGUAUGACUUGUGAUCGUCCAGAGUCUUUAACAAAUAACGAAUAGUCUGAACUAGUCUGUUGAAAUCCAUACCUCAGUAAUGCAUUUGUGAGGUUAGCAAACCACUGUCUGCUAGCUUGCUUUAGACCAUAAAGAGACUUUCUAAGCUUCAGGCAUGUACCUGGUGGCGCAUCCAACCCAGCUGGAAUUCUUAAGUAAACUUCUUCAUUUAGAUCUCCAUGUAGAAAAGCAUUAGAUACGUCCAUUUGUUCCAGGAACAAAUCCUGAGCUGCUGCUAUUGCUAAUAAAGCUUUCACCGUAUUGAUCUUGGCCACUGGUGAGAAUGUGUCUACAAAAUCAACACCCUGUAUUUGGUCAAAACCCUGUGCCACUAGCCUUGCCUUGUGUCGCUCCACACUUCCAUCAGACUUCAAUUUAAGUUUGAACACCCACUUUGUUCCCAGUUUGUGAAAUUUAUCCGAGUCUGGUACAACAUCCCAAGUGUGGUUCUCAUUAAGGGCACCAAGUUCAUUUUGAACUGCUACAUUCCAGUGAGGAUCAUUCAUUGCUUCUUUGUAAUUCUUUGGUUCCUGCUGCACUAUGACAUUCAACGCAAAACGUUUAAAUUGAUCAGAAAGACUAUCAUACGACAGGACUGAUGCAAGAGAGUGUUUAGUAACACUGGCAUCCAAGUGGUAGUCUUGUAAGUGUAUAGGUGGACGUCUUGUCCUAGUAGAGGUCCUGACAUCCAGCAGAUCAGGCUGCUGUCCCUCCCCUGCUGGAUGAAUCUCAGGAUCCGAAAGUUCCAUAUCAUCCUCGCUAUCAAAAAGUGAACCCUGCAGCUGGGAUGAAUGAUUAGUAACAUGUAGAUUAGUUCCUGGAGCUACUGACACUGAAUUUUGGGAAGAGCUAGGGCUAUGUGGAUUAGAUGGUUGAGUAGGGGGAGCUACUGGAACCUCUAUGUUCACAGCAAUAGGAGCUAGAAUUUCUGACUCAAGAGGAGAAGUGGGAGAAACAGAAUUUGACUUAAAAGGAAAAAUGUUUUCAUAAAAGACUACAUCCCUGGAAACAUAAACUUCAGUAGAUGCUAGAUCAAGUAGUUUAUAUCCUUUUAUGUUGGCAGGAAUGCCAAUAAGCACACUUUGUCUAGCACGAGGAUGAAACUUACCUCGAUUGUGAGAUAGAGUUGCUGCGUAUGCUAAACAGCCAAAAACCCUGACAUGAUUAAGAUUUGGUGGAUGAUCAUAUAAUAUCUCAAAAGGAGUUUUGUUUUGAAUGGCAGAAGAAGGAGUCCUAUUUAUGAGAUAAACGGAAUGAAGAACAAAAUCACUCCAAUAAACUAGAGGGAGUCCAGACUGAAACUGUAAGGCUCUCGCUACAUUUAGAAUGUGUUGAUGCUUGCGUUCAACUUUGGCAUUUUGUUGAGGAGUUUGGACACAUGACAUUUGAUGAAUAAUUCCAUGUUCUGAGUAAAAUUCAGUCAUGUGGAACUCUUUUCCUUGGUCACUUCUUAUCAUUUUAACCUUGGUUUUAAACUGAGUGCAGACCAUAUUACAGAAAGAUUGCAAUAAGGGUCUUGCCUCUGACUUAUACUUCAUCAAAUAAACCCAAACCCCUCUAGAAUAGUCAUCAACAAUAGUGAGAAAAUACAGAAAUCCAUCAUGUGAUUCAGUGGACAAAGGACCCCAAAUAUCAACAUGUAUUAGAUCGAAAGGGACCCCAAAUGUCAACAUGUAUUAGAUCGAAAGCAGCAGUGACAGUAGUCUGACUGCUAUGAAAAGGAAGACGUUUGUGUUUGGAAUAAUGACAAAUAGAGCAAUGUGCCAAGUUUUCAGGAACUAUGCUAUGAUUGUGGUUGUGUAGAAUCUUCAGUUUUUCAGAACUGGGAUGCCCCAUUCUCCAAUGCCAGAGGCUGAUUUCUUCUGGUUGGUAAUUGUGACUAACUGCUACUUGAGAUUUAUGUGGUAUGGAUUGAGGAGACUGUGGUGUGACAUGUUUAUCAGGAGGUUGGAGGUGGUAUAGCCCUCUAGUCUGAAUGGCUAAACCAAUCAUCCUGCCUGUGGUGAGGUCUUGUAGCUGGCAUUUGUUGGAUUGGAAGAUCAGGGAAACAGGAAGAUGAGAAGUUAGCUUACUCACAGAGACCAGAUUGAAGUGAAAUGUGGGAACGCAUAAAACGUUAUGAAUGAUAAGACCAUGAGGAAGUUUGAUAGUGCCAACAUGGAUGACAGACAUGGGAGAAGAAUCAGGAAGAUAAACGUUGACUCCUAUGACAGACUUAUAGGACAGAAAGUGUUUAAUGGAACAGGUUAUAUGGUCAGAAGCUCCAGUAUCAAAAAUCCACAAGUUAGCUAAAUCAGGACAUGAUCCAGCAGACAAAGUAAACUUACCUGAAUCGUUUGGAAGAUUUGGAAUUCCUGAUCCUGAGACUGUGGAUUUAGAUUGCUGGACUGCUUGUAAGAGCUGCUUCAACUGAGUCAAUUCAGCAUUGGUUAGAGAAAGAGCAGCAGCUACUGUAGGGACAUGUUGCUGAUCCACUGCUCCAGCAAAGUGACCUUGUGGAGCUGAAUUAGAGUUUUGAGAAUUCUGUUCCUGCUGCUUCUUCCACUUCAACCUUCUACAUUCAUCGAGUAUGUGGCCUUCCUUCUUACAAUAUCUGCAAAAUUUCUUUCCAGCUGGAGUGUAAUCUCUGGAAUUGCCAGUACUUGCAGCUAUAGCAUACUUUCCAUCAGCUUCCGAUGGCACAGCAAAUGCUACAUUUUGGACUGAAUUAUCCUUUCCUAUCAUCAUGCCACCUUUUAUCUUUUCUCCAUACUGUAAAGCUGUAUCAUAAGCUGAACUGAUUGAUGGCAGGGGUGUCAUCAUCAAUAGCUGUGUUCUUACCACAUCAAAGUCCUCAUUUAAACCUCUGAGAAAACGGAUGAGGUAAUCCGUGUCUUGCUUCUCCUGGAAAGCCACUACUGCUGCACAAGGAAGUACACUGGCUGGUGCACAACUACAAGGGAGCGUAACAUCCUCCAUCUUCAGCUCGCCCAUGGAGAAUUUGAUGAAGAGAAAUCAGUAACAGAUGCGGGAAUUCCAAAGAGAGCAACAGAGCCGCAAGUUCAGGAAGGGAUUUAGGGUUCUGUAACAGAAUGAUCGGAGGUACGAUCAGUAAGCAGAGAAGGAAGAAGAAGAAACGCAGAGAAGAAAUGGAUAUGGAUGAAAGGUCUGAAAACCAUUGAACCGAUUCACUGAGUUUGGUUGAGUUUAUAUAGUAAACUCAACGGUAACUAAAACAGUAAAAACUGAAAAGUAAAACGCGGGUAAACACGUGUCCCGUUUUAAUACAACCAUAUCAAAGACAAACGAAAUGCAAAACGCAUCGUUUCAUUUAAGCUCCGAUUUCCUUUGUGUCUUGACGUUGACUAACGGUCUCCACCUUCUGCUCCGUUUGUUCUUCAUUUCUCCGUUUGUUCUUCAUCACUACACUUGAUCGAACUGCAUUUGAUAUUCUGCUCCGGAGGCCGCGAGAACGUAGAGAGGGUAGAAGUGGCAACGGGAGAGCUGAUGCGGAUCGGAGUAAGUGGCGGAAGAUCGGAAAACUCCGGUGUACUGCAACUGCCCCAAAGAAAGAAGUAGAAAGAUAGAACAAGUAGUAGAAGAAACAGAAAACGAAAAAGAAGAUAUAGAUCUGGAGCCUGGAGCCUGGAGCCUGGAGCCUGGAGGAAAAGCGGAGGGAGCUGACGAAAUUUCGAGAUAGAACGCACUUUCGAUAUCCACAAAAUCAUAUUUGUAGUGACACACCAAGCAAAAGUUAAGGCUUGACGAUAAU